AUUAGAGGCGAACGGGUGAGUAACACGUAUCCAAUCUGCCUUAUAGUGGGGGAUAACUAGUCGAAAGAUUAGCUAAUACCGCAUAACAAGUUAACUAUCGCAUGAGAAUAACUUUAAAGAAGCAACUGCUUCGCUAUAAGAUGAGGGUGCGGCAUAUCAGCUAGUUGGUGAGGNUAAUGGCCCACCAAGGCGAUGACGUGUAGUUAUGCUGAGAGGUAGAAUAACCACAAUGGGACUGAGACACGGCCCAUACUCCUACGGGAGGCAGCAGUAGGGAAUUUUUCACAAUGGACGAAAGUCUGAUGGAGCAAUGCCGCGUGAACGAUGAAGGUCUUUUUAGAUUGUAAAGUUCUUUUAUUUGGGAAGAACAGUUAAUAGAGUGGAAAGCUAUUAAUUUGACUGUACCAUUUGAAUAAGUAACGACUAACUAUGUGCCAGCAGUCGCGGUAAUACAUAGGUUGCAAGCGUUAUCCGGAUUUAUUGGGCGUAAAACAAGCGCAGGCGGAUUAGAAAGUCUGGUGUUAAAAGCAAUUGCUUAACGAUUGUAUGCAUUGGAAACUUCUAGUCUAGAGUUUGGUAGAGAGUCCUGGAACUCCAUGUGGAGCGGUGAAAUGCGUAGAUAUAUGGAAG
rnacentral:rRNA from 1 species